AUGAUUAACAAAUAUAUACACACAUUACUUUAUCUUUUGAGGGCGGUUUGGAGCCCGGAGACUAAGUUGAUCGCUGUUCUUACAUCUUCAUUUUCCAACACAUAUUUAAGGUUCAAUUUACAGAAAGGAAGAUACAAAUUGGCGGGAAGCAACCAACUGGUUUGUCUCUGAUAAAUAUUUCUUUACUUCUCAGUGAGCAAGUUCCCUUCGCAGAUAACAACUUGACUGUGAGCAAUAUUAUUUGUGAUCACAAGCACGUGCUAAUUGGACUUUCAGAUGGGUCACUGUAUAACAUAUCCUGGAAGGGUGAGGUAUCAUUGAUUGUCAUUAUUUUUUGGAGAUAAAAGAGUGAUUUCACGAAGUUUCUACUUCUAUCAUCAAGCCGUCAUGUUCUCUAGUUGAACUUUUCAGCAAGGGGGAUGGUUUAAGUGUUCUGAUUUCUUUCUCAGCUUGAAAUAAUAUAAAGAUCAUUAUAAAUUUGAACUGAGGUAACCUGGCUCAACAAAUUGCGAAUUAUUAUAUUGUUGUGUGGUGCUUUUUAUCUUGAUGUUGGGCUCUUCGGUAGAAAUGCCACUAGCAAACUAUUACAUACUCUGGGUAAUGGUCUUGCUUCUGGUGCAACACAAAGCGGCAGUGUCCAACCAUUUCAUCUCACAGAGGUUUACCGUGAUCCAGCUUGAGUUCUCCAUGCCAUUGAUGUUACUGUUUGUGCUAUUUUCUGAUGGACAACUCAUGUUAUGUUCUGUAAGUAAGAAAGGUCUAAAGCACGCAGACUCUGUUAAAGCUGAAAGGAGGAUGGCCUAUGGUAAUGUGGUAUGUGCAGCGGUUGCCUCGGCACCCAAAUAGGUGUUAUUGAUUAGAUAGUUGGACUAAAAUGAGCUAAAUCGAUGAAAUUAUCAUAAUAUAAUAUGUUGGGGAAAUAUUUUGAGAGAGUGGGAGAUGAAACACCAAAAACCAAAUCAAUGAAACCGGAACAAGAAAUAAGGCAGAAAGUUGAACGAAGAAACUAUGAAAAACCCAGUAAAUGGAGGCUUAAACACAAAUAUGAUACACUGUCUUAGAGUGAUAUUUGUCCUCUCUUCUCGAUCUUGAGAUAUGCUUACGCGAUACACUAACAGAUAGCUAUGAGGAUUAAUCAAACCUUGGAGUUUAAUCACCAAGCAAAGAUGAAGAACCUAUAAGAACAAUAAGAC